GAUGAAGAACGUAGUGAAUUGCGAUAAGUAAUGUGAAUUGCAGAAUUCAGUGAAUCAUCAAAUCUUUGAACGCACAUUGCGCCCCCUGGUAUUCCGGGGGGCAUGCCUGUCCGAGCGUCAUUGCUGCCCUCAAGCACGGCUUGUGUGUUGGGCCUCCGUCCUCCUCCCGGGGGACGGGCCCGAAAGGCAGCGGCGGCACCGCGUCCGGUCCUCGAGCGUAUGGGACUUCGUCACCCGCUCUUGUAGGCCCGGCCGGCGCUUGCCGACACAUCAAUCUUUUUUCCAGGUUGACCUCGGAUCAGGUAGGGAUACCCGCUGAACUUAAGCAUAUCAAUAAGCGGAGGA
rnacentral:misc_RNA from 1 species